rnacentral:rRNA from 1 species
GGUGCUGCAUGGCUGUCGUCAGCUCGUGUCGUGAGGUGUUGGGUUAAGUCCCGCAACGAGCGCAACCCUUAUCUUUAGUUGCCAGCAUGUUUGGGUGGGCACUCUAAAGAGACUGCCGGUGACAAGCCGGAGGAAGGUGGGGAUGACGUCAAGUCCUCAUGGCCCUUAUGUCCUGGGCUACACACGUGCUACAAUGGCGGUGACAGUGGGAAGCUAGAUGGUGACAUCAUGCCGAUCUCUAAAAACCGUCUCAGUUCGGAUUGCACUCUGCAACUCGAGUGCAUGAAGGUGGAAUCGCUAGUAAUCGCGGAUCAGCAUGCCGCGGUGAAUACGUUCCCGGGUCUUGUACACAC